GGCGCGGUCACGUGGCGGGACGCGGGGCGCGGGCGCGGCCGCAGCUCCUGCGUGGCUGGCCAUCCUUGGCGUCCCUUGGCUGUGGGCACAUCGCCCUGAUGUGCGUCCGCGAUCAUGCAGCUUCUCCCUGUGCGUCUGCAUCCACAUCUUUUAUCUCAUGAGGGUUCAGGACCGCCCUACUCCAGUGUGACCUCAUCUUAACUAAUCACAUCUGCCAAGACCCUAUUUCCAAGCAGGACGACCAAAACUGUCCUCGGACAGAGUCCCUGGGUGCUGAGAACCGCUUACCCUUCCAUGCCAACCCGUGUGUGGCUGGUGCAGGUGGUUCGCAGACGAUGGUCAUUGUCUGAUCUGGCCGACUCUGCUCUGCAUCGGAGAUCCCUCUGGAGGUGCUUGGGAACGUGAGGGAACUCGUGACGGGACCCCUGCUGGAGCUGCCCGGGGGCUGGGGGGGCUGGUGACAAACCCCUGGGAGGCAGGGGUGCCAGGAACAGCCCCAGCAGCCCCACCUGCCGUGAACCCAGAGAACUGAAAAUGGACUGAAGCAGACACAGCCCCGUGUUCACCGAAGCCUGAACGUGUAGACGACCCAGGCGUCCAUCUGUGGGUCCACGGAUACUCACACGGUCCCCCACGCGCCAGAGCAUCACUGGGCCGCAGGCAGGAGCGAGGCGCCCAUAUGCACGGCCCCGGGGACAGACUCCGAGCCCAUGAUGCUCAGGGAGGGACCCAGACACAGACAGCCACACGGGGUGUGAGUCCAUGUGGGUGACACGUCCAGAACAGGCUCAUCCGCGGACGGGAAGGGGGCUUGUGGGGGCCGGCGGCUGGGGAGCAAGAAGGAUAAAAAGCAGCAUGAAGGAAAAUGCCAAAAGAAACCAACAAAACCAGCAAAAGAGGGUCUGCUCUGGGUUGCAUGAGGCUGGGCAUGGUUAUUUUCCCUCAGGAGGAUUUUAGUGAUAGUUCACCUCUUUGUUUUUAACUUUUUUUUUUUUUUUUUGAACAGUUCUUCAAACGUUGGGGAAAUGCUGUAAUAGCAGAAACGCUGUGGUGGGGCUCCAGGGGCGCCCGCGGGGGGAGCCCGGGUGUGUGCUCAGCGCUGCCCGAGCUGGGGGGGCAGCGGCGCCCUCCUCCUCCGUGGGCACAUUUUGAAAGAAUAAGAAAUAGUCAAGGGGAAAAAAUGGCCAAAGAAUAAUAUAAAACCACAGAACCGUCUUCCCUGGACAGUUUCUAUUUUCCGCCUUGUCGCUUAUCAGAAUGUGUGCUGGGGGCAGUUUGGGGGCGGAUGCAAGUUAAACUUUGCAAAUCAGAUGCUGUUGAGACAGUUUACACGCAACGAAAACACAGCUUUCCCCCCUCCCCAAGUGUUGAUUUGAAUUCCAGUUAGCUAACAGACAGUGUUCUAUUAGUUUCAGAAAACACACCUGUUUUUACUGUCCGACUGACUGAUCAGCUCUGCUUGCCCAGGUCGACACCCCGGAAAGCUGUGUCCGCCCCUUGCUGUUGGGCCGCCCCACGCCGCCGGCCGCUGGGAGCAUCUUUGCCUCUUCUGCAGUUUCACGUUAACGGACUUGCUUUGCGCUGUCUCCCCGUGGCACGUUUCUCGAACUCAGCCUAAGUUAAUGUUUGUCUUUUUUUUUUUUUUUUUUUUAAAGAUUCCUGGCCAGGCAGCUGCACGUCCACACUGCGGGCCACCUGCUCUCCCCACAGCCAUCUGGGGGACCCUCAGGCUCCUUCCCAACUGUCCGAGGAAUGGGAUCUCUGCACACACUUCAGGUUCCCUAAGACCCUGAAAUUUUCUUACUGUUAAAACUGAGAGAGAAUUCGUGUGCAUCAACGUUUGGUCUUUUAAAGUAGACCGUUGAAUGGUUUUUAGUAAAUUUGAGAAUUUGUGCGAU